GGCUUGAGCCGAGCCGAUGGUGACAAGACGAUUUUGUCCUCUUUUUUCUUUUAAUUACAAUCGGCCAUCGGAAUCUUUUUCCACUUCUCGCAGCGAGAGCAUAGAGAUUGAAAUCGGAAGAGAUGAAACAGCCCAGAAACGUGAGAAGCAUCGGAGAGAGGUAGAGGGUUUUUAGAACUGGAGCCAAGGGGAAGAGAAGCAUUUGGGUUUAGGUUUUGAUCAGGUGCAACGAUAUUGAUCCAAUUGGGUGUGUUUUUUCUUCUUUCUUUUGUUGCAAAAUUGUUUUAAAUAUUCUUUGAUUUUGUUUGUGCUGAAAAUAAUAUGAUAAAUUAUGAAAUGAAAGUGGCUGAAUUGGAAGCUAAACUUGGCAGUGAGAUGAGCAAAAGAAGGCCUUACUUACUGGUAAGUCUUCCAAGCUACUAACAUUUUGCUGACCAAAUUUGAUAUGCUGAGCGUUGUUUCUUCCCAUGUUGCAGAAAAGGAAAAAGGAUUAUGUUUUAAAUCUUUUUGAGCAUGGCACUGGCACGCAUGGCUUAUGAACUAUAAUAUGUAAAAGGUUUCCAGUAACCAUUUAUAGUUGUUCCAACAGUGAUUGUAAGUAAGAAUACUCAAUAUUCUUAUAAUUCCAAUGGUUUGUCUCAUAUUAUGUAACGUCAAUGCAAUCCUAGAAAACCUGCAGCAACGCGCGGGGUACUGUUUCUAGUAUAUA